UACGUAGGGUGCGAGCGUUGUCCGGAAUUAUUGGGCGUAAAGAGCUUGUAGGCGGUUUGUCGCGUCUGCUGUGAAAAUCCGGGGCUCAACCCCGGACUUGCAGUGGGUACGGGCAGGCUAGAGUGUGGUAGGGGAGACUGGAAUUCCUGGUGUAGCGGUGAAAUGCGCAGAUAUCAGAAGGAACACCGAUGGCGAAGGCAGGUCUCUGGGCCACUACUGACGCUGAGAAGCGAAAGCAUGGGGAGCGAACAGG
rnacentral:rRNA from 1 species